rnacentral:rRNA from 1 species
GACGAACGCUGGCGGCGUGCUUAACACAUGCCAGUCGAACGGUGAAGCGCCUUCCUUUUUGGUGGGUGUGGAUGAGUGGCGAACGGGUGAGUAACACGUGAGUAACCUGCCCCCUUCUUCUGGAUAACCGCAUGAAAGUGUGGCUAAUACGGGAUAUUCUGGGUCUGUCGCAUGAUGGGUCUGGGAAAGAUAUUGUUUCGGUGGGGGAUGGGCUCGCGGCCUAUCAGCUUGUUGGUGGGGUGAUGGCCUACCAAGGCGGUGACGGGUAGCCGGCCUGAGAGGGUGGACGGUCACACUGGGACUGAGACACGGCCCAGAAUCCUACGGGAGGCAGCAGUGGGGAAUAUUGCACAAUGGGCGCAAGCCUGAUGCAGCGACGCCGCGUGAGGGAUGGAGGCCUUCGGGUUGUGAACCUCUUUCGCCAGUGAAGCAGGCCUGCCUCGUUUGUGGGUGGGUUGACGGUAGCUGGAUAAGAAGCGCCGGCUAACUACGUG